rnacentral:rRNA from 1 species
AUUGAACGCUGGCGGAAUGCCUUACACAUGCAAGUCGAACGGCAGCACGGGAGCAAUCCUGGUGGCGAGUGGCGAACGGGUGAGUAAUACAUCGGAACGUGCCCAGGCGUGGGGGGUAACGUAGCGAAAGUUACGCUAAUACCGCAUACGCUCUACGGAUGAAAGCGGGGGAACGUAAGGCCUCGCGCGAUUGGAGCGCCCGAUGUCAGAUUAGGUAGUUGGUGAGGUAAAGGCUUACCAAGCCGACGAUCUGUAGCUGGUCUGAGAGGACGACCAGCCACACUGGGACUGAGACACGGCCCAGACUCCUACGGGAGGCAGCAGUGGGGAAUUUUGGACAAUGGACGCAAGUCUGAUCCAGCCAUUCCGCGUGCAGGACGAAGGCCUUCGGGUUGUAAACUGCUUUUGUACAGAACGAAAAGGUUUCUAUUAAUACUAGGAGCUCAUGACGGUACUGUAAGAAUAAGCACCGGCUAACUACGUGCCAGCCGCCGCGGUAA